rnacentral:rRNA from 1 species
AUGGAUCAAGGGAAACUUAUCUUCUGGAAUGUUCGUGGCCUCAAUAGUGGUGCCAAGCGCUCUGUGGUCCGCUCGGUCAUCUUGAGUUCUCUCCCGAGCGUGGUAUGUCUACAAGAAACGAAACUCGAGCUCUUCACUCCCGCCUUGGUUUGCGAAACCCUUGGCCCCGACUUCCGCGACUUCUUCUUCCUGCCAGCUCACGGCACGCGUGGCGGAAUCCUGCUCGCUUGGCGCGCCUCAGGGGUCGCCAUCUCUAACCCGGUUCGAGGCCACCACCACAUCACCACGCUCGUCUCCUCCCCUUCGGGCGAGCGGCCUUGGUGGAUCACAGGGGUUUAUGGUCCCCAGGAGGACGAGGCCAAGAUCGCCUUUUUGGGUGAUCUGCACGAUGAGCGCGCCGCCCGCUCUGGCCUGUGGCUUCUUGGUGGCGAUUUCAACAUGAUCCUCUCCGACGUGACAAGAACAACCAUCUGA